UACGUAGGUCCCGAGCGUUGUCCGGAUUUAUUGGGCGUAAAGCGAGCGCAGGUGGUUUAAUAAGUCUGAUGUAAAAGGCAGUGGCUCAACCAUUGUAUGCAUUGGAAACUGGUAGACUUGAGUGCAGGAGAGGAGAGUGGAAUUCCAUGUGUAGCGGUGAAAUGCGUAGAUAUCGGGAGGAAGGCCGGUGGCGAAGGCGGCCUCCUGGGCCUGCACUGACGCUGAGGCGCGAAAGCGUGGGGAGCAAACAGG
rnacentral:rRNA from 1 species